rnacentral:lncRNA from 1 species
UGUAUGUGCAGCAACAAGUUCGAAUCUUAACAUCGGUCUUGCAAUAGGAAUAUGCCAAGUUCUGUCUUUUACUUGUACACAAAUCAUAGCAGCUCCCGGUAUCAUAGGGAUUGAGCGUCUUGCAAAACCCAUGAUAUAAAGAUUUCGUAGAUGCAACUGUAGAUACAUAUCAAACAAGAUAUAUUAGAGAUGGGUUGUUCAAUUUGAACAAUUGGAUGUACAACAAAAUAGGUGUAUAUACUGCAACAUACGAGUGCGAGCAUGGCAGGAUGGGAAGGUAAAACACAUCAUGGCCAGCACCAGGAAAACAAUAGCCAUGGAGCGCAUGACCGUCGGCCAUCUUGUACUGUUAGUGUGUGCCAUGAGAGUGAAGAAACUACUUUUUUCUAUU